AACAAUCCACCAAGCAAACUAUGGCGAGGUGGUUCACCAUCCUCGUAGACAAUGUAGUGUAGGGACACGUCACACGUAUUGACUCUAAGACUAUCAGCAAUUUGGUGUCGCCAGAUUCUGUGUGGAGCUCUCUGAAACAUGACUGAAUGUACUCUCUGCUCUCAAGAAUGUACACCGUAGCAUAGAAAACUCAGAGCCAAUCGUCAAUAUACCGAUGAUGCCCUGAGACCAAAUCAGCCAAUCUGGGUAGUUGAUCGAAGUAUCCCUUAAUAUUCACUCCUCCCG
rnacentral:lncRNA from 1 species